rnacentral:rRNA from 1 species
GAUGAACGCUAGCGGCAGGCCUAACACAUGCAAGUCGAGGGGCAGCGGAUGAAGUGCUUGCACUUCUGCCGGCGACCGGCGCACGGGUGCGUAACGCGUAUGCAACCUACCUUUAACAGGGGGAUAAUCUGGAGAAAUCCGGUCUAAUACCCCAUAAUAUCAUUUAAGGCAUCUUAAUUGGUUAAAAAUUCCGAUGGUUAAAGAUGGGCAUGCGUUGUAUUAGUUAGAUGGUGAGGUAACGGCUCACCAUGACUACGAUACAUAGGGGGACUGAGAGGUUUACCCCCCACACUGGUACUGAGACACGGACCAGACUCCUACGGGAGGCAGCAGUGAGGAAUAUUGGUCAAUGGACGCAAGUCUGAACCAGCCAUGCCGCGUGCAGGAUGACGGCUCUAUGAGUUGUAAACUGCUUUUGUACGAGGGUAACCGCGGGUACGUGUACCCGUCUGAAAGUAUCGUACGAAUAAGGAUCGGCUAACUCCGUGCCAGCAGCCGCGGUAA